CUCAGUCACUGGUUCUGAACUGAUCAGGUGGACAGGACGAAGUUCUCCUGGAACACUUCAUAUUACUUGUUUCUACACUGUGGAUAACUCUGUUCGUACUCCUUCUCCUCACUCUCUCCCAGCUCCAGUCACAGUGCUGAAUCAGAAACCGAGACUAAGCGUCAGUCAUGAUGGUCAGUUUGAUGUAUUCAGAUUUGUGUGUGAAAUAUCAGGGUCAGAGUCAGUAACUGCUGAUUUUAGCUGUAAUCUCUACACUGGAGAAAAUCCUCAGCUUUUCCUAAACCGAACAUCUCAAAACGGAAACUCUGUGAAGGUUUGUAGUUUUACAGCACAGAGAGACGCUGUGUUUAAUCGUCUGCAGUCAGUAAAGAGUCGUGAAGUGAGCUGUGAUUAUUCAC
ensembl:lncRNA